UACGUAGGGAGCGAGCGUUGUCCGGAUUUACUGGGUGUAAAGGGUGCGUAGGCGGCAAUGCAAGUCAGGCGUGGAAGCUCGGGGCUUAACCCCGAAACUGCGCUUGAAACUGUGUUGCUUGAGUGAAGUAGAGGUAGGCGGAAUUCCCGGUGUAGCGGUGAAAUGCGUAGAGAUCGGGAGGAACACCAGUGGCGAAGGCGGCCUACUGGGCUUUAACUGACGCUGAGGCACGAAAGCAUGGGUAGCAAACAGG
rnacentral:rRNA from 1 species